rnacentral:rRNA from 1 species
CAUCUAAGCACGAAACUUGCCCCGAGAUGAGUUCUCCCUGACUCCUUGAGAGUCCUGAAGGAACGUUGAAGACGACGACGUUGAUAGGUCGGGUGUGUAAGCGUAGCGAUACGUUGAGCUAACCGAUACUAAUGAACCGUGAGGCUUAACCUC